GCCUGGCUGGCUCAGUCGGUAGAGCACGAGACUCUUGAUCUCGCGGUUGUGAGUUUGAGCCCCAUGUUGGGUG